AUACGUAGGUGACAAGCGUUAUCCGGAUUUACUGGGCGUAAAGGGCGUGUAGGCGGUCUUGCAAGUCAGAAGUGAAAUUCCUGAGCUCAACUCGGGCGCUGCUUCUGAAACUGCAGGACUUGAGUGCUGGAGGGGAUAGCGGAAUUCCUAGUGGAGCGGUAAAAUGCGCAGAUAUUAGGAAGAACACCGGUGGCGAAGGCGUCUAUCUGGACAGGAACUGACGCUGAGGCACGAAAGCGUGGGGAGCAAACAGGAUUAGAUACCCUGGUAGUCCACGCCAUAAACGAUGAAUACUAGGUGUAGGGGGUAUCGACUCCCUCUGUGCCGCAGUUAACGCAUUAAGUAAUCCACCUGGGGAGUACGGCCGCAAGGUUAAAACUCAAAUGAAUUGACGGGG
rnacentral:rRNA from 1 species